GAUGAACGCUGGCGGCGUGCCUAAUACAUGCAAGUCGAGCGAACAGACGAGGAGCUUGCUCCUCUGACGUUAUCGGCGGACGGGUGAGUAACACGUGGAUAACCUACCUAUAAGACUGGGAUAACUUCGGGAAACCGGAGCGAAUACCGGAUAAUAUAUUGAACCGCAUGGUUCAAUAGUGAAGGACGGUUUUGCUGUCACUUAUAGAUGGAUCCGCGCCGCAUUAGCUAGUUGGUAAGGUAACGGCUUACCAAGGCAACGAUGAGUAGCCGACCUGAGAGGGUGAUCGGCCAACCCGCAACUGAGAAGACGCCCAGCAUACUACGGGAGGCAGCAGUAGGGAAUCUUCCGCAAUGGGCGAAACCUUGACGGAGCAACGCCGCGUGGGUGAUGAAGGUCUUCGGCUCGUAAAGCUCUGUUAUUAGGAAAGAACAAAUGUGUAAGUAUCUAUGCACGUCUUGACGGUACCUAAUCAGAAAGCCACGGCUAACUACGUG
rnacentral:rRNA from 1 species